GACGAACGCUGGCGGCGUGCCUAAUACAUGCAAGUCGAACGCAUUUUCUUUCACCGUAGCUUGCUACACCGAAAGAAAAUGAGUGGCGAACGGGUGAGUAACACGUGGGUAACCUGCCCAUCAGCGGGGGAUAACACUUGGAAACAGGUGCUAAUACCGCAUAAUUCCAUUUACCGCAUGGUAGAUGGAUGAAAGGCGCUUUUGCGUCACUGAUGGAUGGACCCGCGGUGCAUUAGCUAGUUGGUGGGGUAACGGCCUACCAAGGCUGCGAUGCAUAGCCGACCUGAGAGGGUGAUCGGCCACACUGGGACUGAGACACGGCCCAGACUCCUACGGGAGGCAGCAGUAGGGAAUCUUCGGCAAUGGACGCAAGUCUGACCGAGCAACGCCGCGUGAGUGAAGAAGGUUUUCGGAUCGCAAAACUCUGUUGUUAGAGAAGAACAAGGAUGAGAGUGGAAAGUUCAUCCCUUGACGGUAUCUAACCAGAAAGCCACGGCUAACUACGUG
rnacentral:rRNA from 1 species